rnacentral:rRNA from 1 species
CACCGCGGUUAUACGAGAGACCCAAAUUGAUAUAUACGGCGUAAAGGGUGGUUAAAUCUACAAUAAACUAGAGCCAAACUCACCCCUGACUGUUAUACGUUACGGAAUGAAGAAGCACUAAACGAAAGUAGCUCUAAACAAUUGAACCCACGAGAGCUAGGGUA